GGCAACCCUGAAGCAGCGACGCCGCGUGGAUGAUGAAGGCCCUUGGGUCGUAAAAUCCUGUCAGUUUGGAAGAAAUGCAUAUUGGCUAAUACCUAUUAUGUUUGACGGUACCAGCAAAGGAAGCACCGGCUAACUCCGUGCCAGCAGCCGCGGUAAUACGGAGGGUGCAAGCGUUGUUUGGAAUUACUGGGCGUAAAGCGCGCGUAGGUGGUCUAUUAAGUCAGAUGUGAAAGUCCCUGGCUCAACUGGGGAAGUGCAUAUGAAACUGGUAGACUUGAGUACUGGAGGGGGAAGUGGAAUUCCCGGUGUAGAGGUGAAAUUAGUAGAUAUCGGGAGGAAUACCGGUGGUGAAGGCGACUUCCUGGCCAGAUACUGACACUGAGGUGGGAAAGCGUGGGUAGGAAACAGGAUUAGAUACCCUGGUAGUCC
rnacentral:rRNA from 1 species